rnacentral:rRNA from 1 species
AGUGAACGCUGGCGGUAGGCCUAACACAUGCAAGUCGAACGGCAGCACAGUAAGAGCUUGCUCUUACGGGUGGCGAGUGGCGGACGGGUGAGGAAUACAUCGGAAUCUACUUUUUCGUGGGGGAUAACGUAGGGAAACUUACGCUAAUACCGCAUACGACCUACGGGUGAAAGCAGGGGAUCUUCGGACCUUGCGCGAUUGAAUGAGCCGAUGUCGGAUUAGCUAGUUGGCGGGGUAAAGGCCCACCAAGGCGACGAUCCGUAGCUGGUCUGAGAGGAUGAUCGGCCACACUGGAACUGAGACACGGUCCAGACUCCUACGGGAGGCAGCAGUGGGGAAUAUUGGGCAAUGGGCGCAAGCCUGAUCCAGCCAUACCGCGUGGGUGAAGAAGGCCUUCGGGUUGUAAAGCCCUUUUGUUGGGAAAGAAAAGCAGCAGGUUAAUACCCCGCUGUUCUGACGGUACCCAAUGAAUAAGCACCGGCUAACUUCGUG